rnacentral:lncRNA from 1 species
AUAUCCUCUCUGUCCACGUUCGUUGUGGACGGGGUCACCAGGAAGAUGGUUCCUGGGUGAUGAGAGUGUCCAGGACAUUGUCUUCGGUGGACUACUGGCACAGGGACCUGAAUAAGACACUGGGAUUUACAAAGUGGAAAAGAAAUCACUGAGGGAUCCCUCAAGCCACUGAAAACAUGUACCAUUUGCCAUAAAACAGCAUUAAACAUUAAGUCAACAGAUUGCACAUGAAUAUCAACAAUCCUGCAAAAAAAGCCAGUCCCUUAAGAAACAUCAAGAUUGACAGUUGUCAUCAGAGAAAUGAUGAGGACCAGGAUCUUCAGGGUACCAUCUGGUGCUGUGUUUGAAGAAAAUGAGAAUGAGAGAUAUUUCCUCAAUAGAUGAAACUAUUGGCCCCAGCUCCAAAUUCACACUUGUUGCAGCAGUUAAUUCUGCAAAAUCACAGAAGGAAAAAAAGUCAGGCCAAGGUUCUGCCUUGCUCUUUCUUGAAUCACCUGCUCUGGAGGAAGCCAGUUGCAUGGGAAGACAUCCAAGCAGCCAUGGGUUGUGUAGAGAGAAACUGAGGCCUGCCAUCAGUAGCCAGCAUCAGCCUGCCAGCCAUGCAAGGAGCCAGUGUGGAAGCCAAUAUUCCAGAGCCAGUCAAGCUGACUUCUUGACUGAAACUCCAGGAGAGACCCUGAAACAGAAGGACAAAACCACUCCUGAGUUCCUGACUGAUAGAAACUGUGAGAUGAUAAAUGUUUUUGUCAUUUAAACUAGUAAGGUUUGGAGUAAUGUUUUGCAGCAAUAAUUAAUUAAAUAGUAAAGAAAAAAAUGCACUAAGAAAAAUCCAAAGUGAUAUAGGGGUUAUGAGGAAAGGUU